rnacentral:misc_RNA from 1 species
ACACCUCAACUCUUCAUGGUUUUCCAUGAUGAGCUUGGACUUUGGGGGUCUUGCUGGCCUGCGGUCAGCUCCUCUCAAACAAAUCAGCUUGCCAGUGUUUGGUGGGCAUCACAGGUGUGAUAACUAUCUACGCUUGUGGUCUUCCACCAGGUAACCUUCAGCAGUGGAGGUUCGCUGGAGCUCACAGAUGUCUCUCCUCAGUGAGGACAGCCCUUUGAAU